rnacentral:rRNA from 1 species
UACGAAGGGGGCUAGCGUUGCUCGGAAUCACUGGGCGUAAAGCGCACGUAGGCGGAUUCUUAAGUCGGUGGUGAAAGCCUGGAGCUCAACUCCAGAACUGCCUUCGAUACUGAGAGUCUUGAGUCCGGGAGAGGUGAGUGGAACUGCGAGUGUAGAGGUGAAAUUCGUAGAUAUUCGCAAGAACACCAGUGGCGAAGGCGGCUCACUGGCCCGGUACUGACCGCUGAGGUG